rnacentral:rRNA from 1 species
UGGCGGCGUGGAUAAGACAUGCAAGUCGAACGAGAGAAUUGCUAGCUUGCUAAUAAUUCUCUAGUGGCGCACGGGUGAGUAACACGUGAGUAACCUGCCCCCGAGAGCGGGAUAGCCCUGGGAAACUGGGAUUAAUACCGCAUAGUAUCGAAAGAUUAAAGCAGCAAUGCGCUUGGGGAUGGGCUCGCGGCCUAUUAGUUAGUUGGUGAGGUAACGGCUCACCAAGGCGAUGACGGGUAGCCGGUCUGAGAGGAUGUCCGGCCACACUGGAACUGAGACACGGUCCAGACACCUACGGGUGGCAGCAGUCGAGAAUCAUUCACAAUGGGGGAAACCCUGAUGGUGCGACGCCGCGUGGGGGAAUGAAGGUCUUCGGAUUGUAAACCCCUGUCAUGUGGGAGCAAAUUAAAAAGAUAGUACCACAAGAGGAAGAGACGGCUAACUCUGUGCCAGCAGCCGCGGUAAUACAGAGGUCUCAAGCGCUGUUCGGAAUCACUGGGCGUAAAGCGUGCGUAGGCUGUUUCGUAAGUCGUGUGUGAAAGGCGCGGGCUCAACCCGCGGACGGCACAUGAUACUGCGAGACUAGAGUAAUGGAGGGGGAACCGGAAUUCACGGUGUAGCA